AAAAAAAGACCACAACUUUAGCUCCCAAUUAUUCCCAAAAAAAUAAAAAUAAAGAAGCACUACCAGUUUUCAUGGAUCUAAAAGCUUCCACCAUUAGUACCCCGAGUUAACAUUUAAUAUGCAGGCUGUGUAUAUAAAUAUUCUCAUAAAACUUAAUUAUAACCGGGUGAAUACAACAAAAGCUCAUAAUCCUUCUCACAACAAAUUCAAAACGGGAAUUGCCAAAUAAACCCUAGUAAUUCACAUAGAAUUGGAGAAGAUGAGAGGAGCUGAUUCUCGAAGAUAACGGUAAACGAGGUAAUUCAAUUCGACAGAAGUGAUAGACGUCAUCUUCCCGGAGUUUAGCGAACGAAAGCAGAAGAGAGAUGCUAAAGAAUCAUGUAGUUCAAUUAGCUUUGAAUUUUACAGAGAAAUAUGGAGAAUGGAGUUCACCGGUAACGAUUCUCCAAAUCGGCGUCACCGAUGGAGAAGGACGAGAGCGGCGCUAGAGAUAGAGCAGCGAGGUUAUUUGGGAAAAAUAUGAUUAUUCAACCCAUUCAGGCGAAUAUUUUCAAAAGAAUCGAUCAGACCCUUUCAGCCCAAUUUAAAUUUUAAAAAUUGUAAACAAACAGUCUGAAUGACUGAAUCGUUCAGAUUCAGAGUCAUUCAGAUCGUAUCAAACAGGUCCUAAAUCUGAAUGAGUUGAAUCUGAAUCUGAAUGAAAAAAAUU
rnacentral:lncRNA from 1 species